AGAGUUUGAUCCUGGCUCAGGACGAACGCUGGCGGCGUGCUUAAUACAUGCAAGUCAACUGAACUUGAGGUAGUAAUACUUCAAGGGAGGUGGCGCACGGGUGAGUAACACGUAGGUAAUCUGCCUUUAGGUCUGACAUAACCACGAGAAAUCGUGGCUAGCUUCAGAUGAUGCAGCGGCUCGACAUCGAGACAGUUGUUAAAUCUUCGGAGCCUAAAGAUGAGCCUGCGUCUGAUUAGGUAGUUGGCGGAGUAAAAGCCCACCAAGCCUGCGAUCAGUAGCUGGUCUGAGAGGAUGAUCAGCCACACUGGAACUGAGACACGGUCCAGACUCCUACGGGAGGCAGCAGUAAGGAAUAUUGCUCAAUGGCCGAAAGGCUGAAGCAGCAACGCCGCGUGGAGGAUGAAAUACUUUUGUAUGUAAACUCCUGUAAGAGGGGAGAAAUAUGCAGUUAUUCUGCGUUGAUUGUACCCUCAGAGUAAGCACCGGCUAACUACGUGCCAGCAGCCGCGGUACUACGUACGGGGCCAGCGUUGUCCGGAUCUACUGGGUGUGCAGGGUGCACAGGUCGAUUGUCAAGUAGAGGUCAGAUGCAUAGCUGACCUAGAGCUACCUUGAUACUGAUGUCUGAGUUUAGAGAUGCAAUGGAGAUCUGUGUAGCAGUCAACUGCGUAGAUAUCAGAUCGACAUCCAGUUGGCGAUAGGCAGGUUGCCCUGUCUCCACACCUGACGCCUAAAUCCCCUACAAGUGCUGGGGAUCAAACCUGAAUGGCAUACCCUGGUAGAU
rnacentral:rRNA from 1 species